AGGAGCAUGGAGCUUCGUUUUCAAAUCCUAGCUUUGCCUGAUAGGAGCUACAUCUCUCAGAUGGAUUCAUUAUAAUCAUGGGACUGUAGGCUUUGAUUCUGAGAAGAUGUUCUAACCCUGGCCUACUUGCUGGUAUCUCAAUUUCAUUUUUCAUGGUGAAAUCACAUUGGUUCUGGUAUUGUCAAGACCAUCUCUCUCUGCAUAUGGCUGCAGAAUAAGAAGGACAAGAAAAGUUUGAGAUGAAUCUGCAUGGACAAUGAAGGAUCUCCUGAAAAACACUCAGGAAAAGAAAAUAUAGAAACAUGCAGAGACAGAAAGAGCAUCAUGUUACCCAGGAGAGGAAAACAGAGAGAGAAGUCUAAGCAUACAGAGAUAGAGUUAGAAAAAUCAAAGACUGUCUGGACUUGAAUUGAGCUACCUGCAUCAUCUACCUGGAUUUGUGUUUUCAACUGGAUGCUGUCCUGCAUCCUUGUCUCAAAAAUGAGGAGAGACAUGGCUUUGAUGGAUGGACCACUCAUUGAAUAAGAAAUUGUCUUGAUGGUCACACUGAAAGAGUUGAAGUCAGUGGUUUAAUGUCCAGAUAGAGACUAGAAAUUGCUAGUAUCUCUUCGAAGUCUGCCCCGGGACUAGUAUAAUUUAACAUUUUUGUCAGUGACAUGGACAGUGGGAUUGCACCCCCAACAAGUUUGCUGAUGACACCAAGAAAUCUCAUGUCCUUGAAACCCAUGGGAAAGCCUGGAGCAAAGCAAAUUAACAUGCCAGUAGAGGAAGAUGCAGUUAAGGAAAAUAUGAACCAGUUGUAACUUGUAAACAUGUCGAUGGGACUUGAUUGGAUGCAACCACAAGUGUUGAGUUUUUAGUGCUUUCAGCACUCUGGCCUGUAGCAUCCUUGUUGACAAACUGGUGGAAUAGAGUCUAGAGAAGCUGAUGAUGAGGUAUGAUGAGACAGAUUGAUGAAGCCAGUCCAUCUCUAGAGGUGAACUCAAAAGAACUGGGGCCAGUACUGUUUAAGAUCUUCAUAGAUAUGAUGGAACAUAGUGAAAAUUUUCAGACACAAAGUUGGAAAGAGAAAGCAGUAUACCAAAUGUUUGUGUUACCCUUUAGAAGGACCUCAACAAGCUGGAGAACUGAGCUGUCAGGAUUAUCCUGAAGUUUAAGAAAUGGAAAUGUUAAUUCUUGUCCAGGGAGGAGGAAGCCUCAGGCACUCACACAAAGAAGCUGAGGUCUGAAUAUCUGGAAAGCAGCCUUGCAGAAAAGGUCGUGGGGACCUGGUGGGCACCUAAAGGAACAUGAGACAACAAUGUGUUCUAGAGCAUAUGAGGCCAUCAGCGCCUGGGCUGCACUAUGAAAAAUGUCACAAGCAGAUCAAAGGAGGAAAGAGCUCACCUAUUUCAAGGAUCCUAGUUAAGCCAAAGGCUUUUCUAGGUUUUGUAUUGGUCAAAUGGCUGUAUGAAACCAUGUCUGUGACUGAAAAUGUUUUGUCUCUAAAUUAGCUUUUCAUUUCAGUUUAAUCACUGGGAUAAAAACUUCAUACAAAAGAUUUAAAUAUUUUAAUUCAAUUUUUAAAGCUACUUUAAUUAAAACAAUUAAACCUAAAUAUCUGUAUUAUAGCUUUGUGUCAAAAAAAAAAAUACUACUAGUUCUAUUAAAACUGCUUUUAAGACAGAUUUAGUUAAACAGGGCAAGCAACUUGUACUUGCUCUUAGACAAUUUUAAACUUGAUUAGCUUUGAUUUGAUGAGAAACACUGUAUCUUCAUGAAGGAAGAAUUUAAUGUUAAUCACCUUCAUCUGUCUAAGAGUUCUGAAUGAAGUUCCCACCAUAAUCAGCUGAAAGGGACAGUCAUGUCAGAAAUGAAUCAUUCCACCUGUUCUGGACAUCUGUAUUAGAAUGGAAAAAAUCACCUUUCACUCAUAACUUUCUCUUCGUGUCUUGAAAAUAUAGUAAAGAGAAACAGUUAAGACUAUGCACUGCUUUUACAUUACUAAAAACAGGUGAAGUUUUUUCCAAGCUGAGCAUUUGCACUAGUUCAAUUUAUUUAUAUUUUUGUUAAUUAAAAUGAAUUAAUGUUCAGCAACAUCUGAGAAAGCAACAUUUGCAUAAUAUUUAUGCAGUUAUUGAUCCAUCAGUAUUAUUUAUUAUGAUUUGGUUACCACACAAAGAAUAAUUAUAUUAAGAGAAAAUAAAUUCUUAUUUUGUUCUUUAAUUUAUCCCUAGAAAAGAGUUUCUCAAGUAAUGCCUGUUUAAAAGUUGUUUCUGCUCUCUUAUUUAAGGAAGGAAAGAGGUGGACAUAACAGUGAGCUCCAUUUUUCUUUCUACAAACAAUAUUAUAAAAUGAGCUCUAGUGGAAAUAAUGCGUACUCAGUGCAGAGAAAUGUUCAUGCUCACCUUCUCUUCUUCAUUGUGCACAAAUAGCUGGAAGGAAGGAAAAAAAUGUUGCUGUGAAUAAAUCCAUUACCCAUGAAGUAUUUUGGGAUGAGAGAAAAGCGUUUUUAAGAAGAAAUGAAGUAAUUGAUUGCAUAUCUAAAGAAACCAGUGAAGGACUAAGCCACAUUACAGUCAAAAACAUAACAUUGCAAGACUGAAAAAUUGCUUUCCUUUUGUUUGUUGAAAUGACAUUGCCUUAUAUAUAUACUUUCAAAAUAUCUCCAGCAGUUUCUUUAACUGCUUUAUCCUUUGUGUGUUGUCUAGCUACAGGAAAUUGGAAAUUGGGCUAUACUGUCCCUUUUACAUUAAUGGUCACAAAUAAGUUUUGUGGCAGUAGUUUUCAUGUCAUCUAAAUGAAGAACAGUAUGGAGAACCAGUUUUUUAUUAUUAUUAUUACUAUUAUUAAUAAUAAUAAUUAAUUUAAUUGAUUUCUUUCUAAUUUCAUGGAAUAUCUUCAUUUUAUUUUGAGAAAAAAAAAAAAUCAUAGAAUCAUAGAAUCCUAGAAUGGCCUGGUUUGAAAAGGAUCUCAAAGAUCACCUAGUUUCAACACACCUGCCGUGGGCAGGGUUGUCAGCCACUAGACCAGGAUGUCCAGAGCCACAUCCAGCCUGGCCUUGAAUGCCUCCAGGGAUGGGGCAUCCACAACCUCCUUGGGCAACCUGUUCCAGUGCUUCACCACUGUCUGAGUGAAAAAAUUCCUCCUAAUAUCUAAGCUAACCCUCCCCUGACUUUGUUUAAAACCAUUCCCCCUUGUCUUAUCACUAUGCAUUUAUGUAAACAGUCAUUCCCAUUCCUGUUUAUAUGCUCCCUUUAAGUACUGGAAGGCCACAAUGAGGUCUCCCUGGAGCGUUAUCUCCUUCAAGCUAAACAAGUCCAGUUUCCUCAGCCUUUCUUCAUAGGAGAGGUGCUCCAGCCCUCUGAUCUUCUCAGUGCAGUGGUCCUCCUCUGGACCUGUUCCAAGAGAUCUGUGCUGGGGGCCCCAGGCCUGGACGCAGUACUCCAGAUGGGGCCUCACAAGAGCUGAGUAGAUGCAGACAAUCACCUCCCUCUCCCUGCCGGCCACCCUUUUUUUAAUGCAGCCCAGAACACAGUUGCCCUUCCAGACUGUAAGCGCACACUGCUGGCUCAUGUCCAGCUUCUUGUCCACUAGGACCCCCAAGUCCUUCACCACAUGGCUGCUCUCAAGUUCUUCCUUCAUUCUGUAUAAAUACCUGGGAUUGCCCUGGCCCAAGCUUGCACUUGGCCUUGUUGAACCUCAUGAGUUUCACAUGGACCCACUUCUCCACCCUGUCCAGGUUCCUCUGGAUCGUUUUCCUUCCCUCCAAUGUAUUGACUACAUCUCUCAGAAAAUAUACAGCCUACCCUCUCACAGUCUUCUUUGAUGAACUUUAUACUCUGUAUUAUCCUCCUUUUCUAACAGACAUUAACUCUUCCUCGUAUUUUUCACUUGUGUCAUAUUUUUCCAGUGCCAUUUCUGUGAUCAAAUAUCUAAAUUGCUUAGUAGCCAUGUGCAUGGCGGUGACUGCACCAGCUGCCGGGGAUUUCCUUGUCUUUUUCCAUUGCAUGUUUCAAUCCAUAGAAGAAUAUGCCUGCAUGAUAAAAUUAUGUGUUUUACAAAAGGAAAAGGGCACACAUUACUAUAAGUCUGAAAACACUCCUUUGCAGAUUUUUUGAUGAUUUAGGUUAAUGUUACGCAAAGAAUGCCCAGCCCAGUUCUUCCCUAGAGAAUGCAAACCAGUUUUUGCAUCUGUUUUAUUAAGAUGUAAGUUAGGAGAGCUCAGUGCUCCUGACAUUACCUACAUUGAAACGUCAGUACAUUUAUAUUAAAAGAUACUUUCAUAUCAGGUGAUGGUAAAUUCUCUGGAAAUAAGUGGGGCAAUGCUGGUGGAGAAGAUCAACUUCUGAAUUAGGCUCCCUAUUCAUAUUGUCUUCUGGAGACAUCUUUACAGAAUAUGGAGAUUGCUGUUGUCUCAUCCUUUCUCUGUCCCCAGCUCUUUGUGGAGCUUAUGCUCCUGAGAUAUAUUUUUAAAUCUCAUGUAACAUUCUAGACUUUAAUAAUGGCAAUGAAUUGUAUAGAUAUCAAUAAGAUGUACUCAGUAUUAGGGAAAACUGCAUAGUUAUGUUUAGAUGCUGAAAAAUUAAUGGAGGUACUGAGACUUUUCUUGCAAAAAAUAUUUAUCAAUCAAGUUACUUUGCAUUGAGUAACUGGCAAUCAUAUUGGAUAUUUCUAAGAAAGUUCUGGUAUAAAAUAUACAAAAAAAGACAUUUUUAAAAAGUUAAAAGAAAUUAUGUCAAUAUUCUGCUUAUAACAUCACAAAAUAAACAAUCAAACAAAUGAAUUGUGAUUGUAUAGACAAAAUGAAUGCCUUAUGUACUACUAAGCCACAAAUAUAUUGCAGUUCAUCACUUCAAGGUUUAUGAGCUAUUCACAUUGAGAUAGAUCACCUAAUCUUUCUCUGAUCAAUCUACAUAUACAUCUGUAACAAGAUGCAUUGUGUGAACCUCUACAGAGUUGUAGCACUGCUGGUAUUAUAUAUUAUUUGUUCUGCAUAUUGCAUUUUACCUCACAAUCAC
ensembl:lncRNA